rnacentral:rRNA from 1 species
UAAGGAAUAUUGGUCAAUGGACGCAAGUCUGAACCAGCCAUGCCGCGUGAAGGAUUAAGGCCCUCUGGGUUGUAAACUUCUUUUAUCUGGGACGAAAAACGGGUAUUCUUACUCACUUGACGGUACCAGAGGAAUAAGCACCGGCUAACUCCGUGCCAGCAGCCGCGGUAAUACGGAGGGUGCAAGCGUUAUCCGGAUUUACUGGGUUUAAAGGGUGCGUAGGUGGGUCUGUAAGUCAGUGGUGAAAUCUCCGAGCUUAACUCGGAAACUGCCAUUGAUACUAUAGGUCUUGAAUUAUCUGGAGGUAAGCGGAAUAUGUCAUGUAGCGGUGAAAUGCUUAGAUAUGACAUAGAACACCAAUUGCGAAGGCAGCUUACUACGGAUUGAUUGACACUGAGGCACGAAAGCGUGGGGAUCAAACA